rnacentral:rRNA from 1 species
UACGUAGGGUGCAAGCGUUGUCCGGAAUCACUGGGCGUAAAGGGCGCGUAGGCGGCCCUGGCAGUCGGUGGUGAAAGCCCGUGGCUCAACUGCGGGUCGGCCACCGAUACUCCAGGGCUCGAGUUUGGUAGAGGCAGAUGGAAUUCCGGGUGUAGCGGUGGAAUGCGUAGAGAUCCGGAAGAACACCGGUGGCGAAGGCGGCCGCUGGGACAUGCGCUGACGCU